rnacentral:ncRNA from 1 species
ACGGGGUGCUGAACAAUGAUUCGGCUGAGAUAAAGCGUGUUGCGCUUUGACCCGUGAACCUGAUACGGAUAAUGCCGGCGUAGGAAGUUUAUUUU